AGAUUGAACGCUGGCGGCAUGCCUUACACAUGCAAGUCGAACGGCAGCACGGGAGCAAUCCUGGUGGCGAGUGGCGAACGGGUGAGUAAUACAUCGGAACGUGCCCAAUCGUGGGGGAUAACGCAGCGAAAGCUGUGCUAAUACCGCAUAAGAUCUACGGAUGAAAGCAGGGGAUCGCAAGACCUUGCGCGAAUGGAGCGGCCGAUGGCAGAUUAGGUAGUUGGUGAGGUAAAGGCUCACCAAGCCUUCGAUCUGUAGCUGGUCUGAGACGGACGACCAGCCCACA
rnacentral:rRNA from 1 species